GCCGCCGUAGCUCAGUCGGUAGAGCAGCUGAUUUGUAAUCAGCAGGUCGGGGGUUCAAAUCCCUCCAGCGGCU
rnacentral:tRNA from 1 species